UACGUAGGGGGCAAGCGUUAUCCGGAUUCAUUGGGCGUAAAGCGCGCGUAGGCGGUCUGUUAGGUCGGGAGUUAAAUUCCGGGGCUCAACCCCGGCCCGCUCCCGAUACCGGCAGACUUGAGUUUGGUAGGGGAAGGUGGAAUUCCCAGUGGAGCGGUGGAAUGCGCAGAUAUUGGGAAGAACACCGGUGGCGAAGGCGGCCUUCUGGGCCACAACUGACGCUGAGGCGCGAAAGCUAGGGGAGCAAACA
rnacentral:rRNA from 1 species